UCUUCGGAGAGUUUGAUCCUGGCUCAGGACGAACGCUGGCGGCGUGCUUAACACAUGCAAGUCGAACGAUGAAGCUGGAGCUUGCUUCGGUGGAUUAGUGGCGAACGGGUGAGUAACACGUGAGUAACCUGCCCCUGACUCUGGGAUAACUGCUGGAAACGGUAGCUAAUACUGGAUAUGAACCGUACAGGCAUCUGUAGCGGUUGGAAAGAUUUUUUGGUUGGGGAUGGACUCGCGGCCUAUCAGCUUGUUGGUGAGGUAAUGGCUCACCAAGGCGACGACGGGUAGCCGGCCUGAGAGGGUGACCGGCCACAUUGGGACUGAGACACGGCCCAGACUCCUACGGGAGGCAGCAGUGGGGAAUAUUGCACAAUGGGCGAAAGCCUGAUGCAGCAACGCCGCGUGAGGGAUGACGGCCUUCGGGUUGUAAACCUCUUUUAGCAGGGAAGAAGCGAGAGUGACGGUACCUGCAGAAAAAGCGCCGGCUAACUACGUGCCAGCAGCCGCGGUAAUACGUAGGGCGCGAGCGUUGUCCGGAAUUAUUGGGCGUAAAGAGCUCGUAGGCGGUUUGUCGCGUCUGCUGUGAAAUCCCGAGGCUCAACCUCGGGCUUGCAGUGGGUACGGGCAGACUAGAGUGCGGUAGGGGAGACUGGAACUCCUGGUGUAGCGGUGGAAUGCGCAGAUAUCAGGAAGAACACCGAUGGCGAAGGCAGGUCUCUGGGCCGUUACUGACGCUGAGGAGCGAAAGCAUGGGGAGCGAACAGGAUUAGAUACCCUGGUAGUCCAUGCCGUAAACGUUGGGUGCUAGACGUGGGGGCCUUUCCACGGUUUCCGUGUCGUAGCUAACGCAUUAAGCACCCCGCCUGGGGAGUACGGCCGCAAGGCUAAAACUCAAAGGAAUUGACGGGGGCCCGCACAAGCGGCGGAGCAUGCGGAUUAAUUCGAUGCAACGCGAAGAACCUUACCAAGGCUUGACAUAUAGAGGAAACGGCCAGAGAUGGUCGCCCCGCAAGGUCUCUAUACAGGUGGUGCAUGGUUGUCGUCAGCUCGUGUCGUGAGAUGUUGGGUUAAGUCCCGCAACGAGCGCAACCCUUGUCCUAUGUUGCCAGCACGUUAUGGUGGGAACUCAUGGGAGACUGCCGUGGUCAACACGGAGGAAGGUGGGGAUGACGUCAAAUCAUCAUGCCCCUUAUGUCUUGGGCUUCACGCAUGCUACAAUGGCCGGUACAAAGGGCUGCGAUACCGCGAGGUGGAGCGAAUCCCAGAAAGCCGGUCUCAGUUCGGAUUGGGGUCUGCAACUCGACCCCAUGAAGUCGGAGUCGCUAGUAAUCGCAGAUCAGCAACGCUGCGGUGAAUACGUUCCCGGGCCUUGUACACACCGCCCGUCAAGUCACGAAAGUCGGUAACACCCGAAGCCGGUGGCCUAACCUUUUGGGAGGAGCCGUCGAAGGUGGGACUGGUGAUUGGGACUAAGUCGUAACAAGGUAGCCGUACCGGAAGGUGCGGCUGGAUCACCUCCUUUCUAAGGA
rnacentral:rRNA from 4 species